rnacentral:rRNA from 1 species
GAUGAACGCUGGCGGCGUGCCUAAUACAUGCAAGUCGAGCGAACAGACGAGGAGCUUGCUCCUCUGACGUUAGCGGCGGACGGGUGAGUAACACGUGGAUAACCUACCUAUAAGACUGGGAUAACUUCGGGAAACCGGAGCUAAUACCGGAUAAUAUAUUGAACCGCAUUGUUCAAUAGUGAAAGACGGUUUUGCUGUCACUUAUAGAUGGAUCCGCGCCGCAUUAGCUAGUUGGUAAGGUAACGGCUUACCAAGGCAACGAUGCGUAGCCGACCUGAGAGGGUGAUCGGCCACACUGGAACUGAGCCACGGUCCAGACUCCUACGGGAGGCAGCAGUAGGGAAUCUUCCGCAAUGGGCGAAAGCCUGACGGAGCAACGCCGCGUGAGUGAUGAAGGUCUUCGGAUCGUAAAACUCUGUUAUUAGGGAAGAACAAAUGUGUAAGUAACUAUGCACGUCUUGACGGUACCUAAUCAGAAAGCCACGGCUAACUACGUG